rnacentral:rRNA from 1 species
AGUGAACGCUGGCGGUAGGCCUAACACAUGCAAGUCGAACGGCAGCACAGUAAGAGCUUGCUCUUACGGGUGGCGAGUGGCGGACGGGUGAGGAAUACAUCGGUAUCUACUUUUUCGUGGGGGCUAACGUAGGGGAACUUACGCUAAUACUGCAUACGACCUACGGGUGAAAGCAUGGGAUCUUCGGACCUUGCGCGAUUGAAGGAGCCGAUGUCGGAUUAGCUAGUUGGCGGGGUAAAGGCCCACCAAGGCGACGAUCCGUAGCUGGUCUGAGAGGAUGAUCAGCCACACUGGAACUGAGACACGGUCCAGACUCCUACGGGAGGCAGCAGUGGGGAAUAUUGGACAAUGGGCGAAAGCCUGAUCCAGCCAUGCCGCGUGGGUGAAGAAGGCCUUCGGAUUGUAAAGCCCUUUUGUUGGGAAAGAAAAGCAGCAGGUUAAUACCCCGCUGUUCUGACGGUACCCAAAGAAUAAGCACCGGCUAACUUCGUG